AGGUGAGAUCAUACCGGUACUAGUGCAUUGAAUCUCAUCAGAACUUCACAGCUAAACAUAUUUGAACGAGAAUAGUACUAGUGGGUGGAUGAUCUUCUGAGAAGUUAUCGUGUUACACCCU
rnacentral:rRNA from 2 species